GACUUUGGUCAUCAAGACAGCCAUUCAUUAAAUCUUAGGAAACAUCUUUAGUUGCAGAAAUUAUAAUAGAAUCUCUCUAUGUAGCUCUGGCUAUUUUGGAACUAUCGUUAUGUAGACCAGGCUAGUCUGGAACUCACAGAUCCACCUGCCUCUGCUCUGAGUUAAUGCUAGAAUUAAUGGUGUGCACUGGUCCGUCAGGAGGAAAGAUUUUGAGACUCUUGUCUUUGACAUCAAACUUUUCAUUACAUACACUUUACAUUUUUUAUUUUAUUUCUUUUUAAUUUUUUAAUUUUGUUGUCCUGGCUGUCUUAUAACUAUGUAGUGUAGACCAGACUGGCCUCAAAUUUACUGCCUCUGCUUCCUGAGUGCUGAAAUUAAAGGUGUAUGCCACCUUACCUGAUUAAAAAUUUUUGUUUCAAAUUUUUGAGUUACAUUUUUUUAAAAAAAGCAAAGUCAGUUUUUUUAAGACUUAUUUAUUAUAUGUAAGUACACUGUAACUGGCUUCAGACACACCAGAAGAGGCUAUUGGAUCUCGUUAUGGAUGGUUAUGAGCCACCAUGUGGUUGCUGGGAUUUGAACUCGGGACCUUUGAAAGAGCAGUUGGUGCUCUUAUCCACUGAGCCAUCUCACCAGCCUCCUUGAGUUACAUUUUUAUUACUGGUUUUGUGUGCCGGUGUCCCCAUGCCCUGACACUUUAUGAAGGUCAGAGGAUAAUGUGCAGGAGUUAGUUCUCUUUUAAACCAUGUAGGUCCUGAGCAACUCACAUUGGAAGAUCAAUACGAACAUAGGUAGUAUUUGUAUUAAAUGCCAUUUAUUUUGGAGGGCUGGUAUAGUUUCAGUAAUAUUGCUCUCCAUUGUAAAACUUAUGGGUCUGAUUUUCUGUUUUCCAGGAGCAUCAGUCAGAAAUCAGGUUUUUGUUGCUUUUAGAUAGGGUCUUACUCUGUAGG
rnacentral:lncRNA from 1 species